GACGAACCGUGCGAACGUUAUUCGGAAUCACUGGGCUUAAAGCGCGUGUAGGCGGGCCGCCACGUCGGGCGCUGAAAUCCCCCGGCUCAACCGGGGAACUGCGUCCGAUACUGGAUGGCUUGAGUUCGGGAGAGGGAUGCGGAAUUCCAGGUGUAGCGGUGAAAUGCGUAGAUAUCUGGAGGAACACCGGUGGCGAAGGCGGCAUCCUGGACCGACACUGACGCUGAGGAGCGAAAGCCAGGGGAGCAAACGGG
rnacentral:rRNA from 1 species